CAAAUGUUGAGGGAAUUUCACCACUUAAUCCACAGCUAUUAAUAUAUAUCUGCUCAAGUUUGACUAAGUUACCGAUUUCUGGAGGUAGAGUCCCAGAGAAAUUGUUUACACCAAGGGACCUAUUUCUCAUAUAUCCACAGAAGAACACAAUGACAAGUUUAGUACUAUUCAAACUAAUAACAGAUACUGCACAUAUAUGAAGUAUGCAUUCAAGAAGUUCAGUAAUCUCUUGGAAUCAAAUCAGUAACACAGCAAGCUAUUGUUGCAAACGCCUAAGAAAGCAAUGAUUUUUCAAAAAUAAGAGCAGCAGUAGCUCCAAUAUCUACAACCUCUAUGGCGAAACUACAAACAUCUAACAAGCAUAAUUAUGUAGCCAAAUAAUUUACCACCAAAUGGGGAGAAUGACCUUUGAAAACAAAAUGAUACAAGCCAUGGUCACAACAUUUGAUAGCAACAAACCAAAACCAAUUGAUUAAAGACCAUAAAAAAGAAAAGGGAAAUUGCAAUUGCAAUUGCCCAUUAAAGGCCAUAAAGAGCAAUGUAUGCCAUAAAUCAUAUAAUAUCAAUGUUUACAACAUUCCCAAACUUUUAAAUAUUCCUAUCAAGCCACUGUAGAAAAUAUUACAAGUUUAAUAUCCAUUAAAAACUUGUCAUUUUCAUAUGGAGAAAAAUUGCAAUUCUAAACUUAUUACAAAAUUGCUUUAAACUCACCAUUUAAAAGAGUUCCUACAAAUACUUUAAAACAAAUAAUUAUGAAAAUAUUUAUAAAAGGUAGAAAAGAUUUAUAAAAUUUAUUGGGAGGGUUAAAACAUCGUGUUUCUAUUUGUUCUUAUAUAUGAAGUGACCACUGACACAUUAAUUUCUGAUACACAAGUGUAAUAAUAAAUUAGUGAUAAAAUAAGUGAGAAUAAAAAAAGAGAAACUUAAAAUAAUUACAAUUUUUAAAUAUUAAUAAUAAAGUUAAAUAAAAAAAAAUAUUCAUAUAACUAAACCCAAUUAGUUUAAAAUUAAGAAUUACUUGUUAUUAUUGUUUAUUUCAUGAAUAAGACAAAUCUCAAACAUAAAAGAAAAUGGAUAUGGAUAUGAUAUUUUCACAAAAAAGUAAUCGAUUUUUUAUUUCAAUCUUACAGCAAAGUUAGAUCUUUCAAGUUUCCAAGUUCCUUCGGGAUCGUCCCAGAAAAUGCAUUGUGAGCAAUUGACAAACCCCUUAAUGCAGUUAAAUUUCCAAUAAAUGCAGGCAACGGACCCGUGAAAUAAUUUUUGUCAAUUUUCAGAAAAAUUAGUUUUUUCAAAACUAGAAUUUCUUCCGGAAUCACUCCUUGUCUGUUCAAAUCAUACACUCUCAAUCGAAUGAUGUGGCAGGUAGUACCAUCAUUGUAGGUGCAAUCGCAUUUGAUGGCUGGAUUGUUGCCAACAGCUUCAAAAUCUGAUUGGUCAAUGGCAGUUCCAGUGCAUGGCUCUCCACUUAUAUUCCACAGUGCCACCGAUUGUGUAUCCCAUUGCUGGAAUAUCGAGUUUAGAGCCCUCACUUCAUCUGGAUCUGUAGUAGCAUUUUGAGCACCGGAAAUGUGAAGUUGAGAGGAAAAGAUGAAGUAGAUACAACAGAAGACCACUGAAGAAGGUUGCAGCAGCUUC
rnacentral:misc_RNA from 1 species